AACGAACNCUGGCGGCAGGCUUAACACAUGCAAGUCGAACGGGUGUAGCAAUACAUCAGUGGCAGACGGGUGAGUAACACGUGGGAACCUUCCUAGGGGUACGGAACAACUCAGGGAAACUUGAGCUAAUACCGUAUACGUCCGUAAGGAGAAAGAUUCAUCGCCUCUAGACGGGCCCGCGUCGGAUUAGGUAGUUGGUGGGGUAACGGCCUACCAAGCCUACGAUCCGUAGCUGAUCUGAGAGGAUGAUCAGCCACACUGGGACUGAGACACGGCCCAGACUCCUACGGGAGGCAGCAGUGGGGAAUCUUGGACAAUGGGCGCAAGCCUGAUCCAGCCAUGCCGCGUGAGUGAAGAAGGCCUUAGGGUUGUAAAGCUCUUUUACCAGGGACGAUAAUGACGGUACCUGGAGAAUAAGCCCCGGCAAACUUCGUGCCAGCAGCCGCCGUAAC
rnacentral:rRNA from 1 species